AUACGGAGGGGACUAGCGUUGUUCGGAAUUACUGGGCGUAAAGAGUUCGUAGGCGGACUGAUAAGUAAGAGGUGAAAUCCCAGGGCUCAACCCUGGAACUGCCUUUUAAACUGUCAGUCUAGAGACCGAAAGAGGUUAGGGGAAUACCUAGUGUAGAGGUGAAAUUCGUAGAUAUUAGGUGGAACACCAGUGGCGAAGGCGCCUAACUGGUCCGGUACUGACGCUUAGGAACGAAAGCGUGGGGAGCAAACAGAAUUAGAAACCCUAGUAGUCC
rnacentral:rRNA from 1 species